rnacentral:rRNA from 1 species
GGAUGAACGCUAGCGGCAGGCUUAACACAUGCAAGUCGAGGGGCAACAGAGAUAGCAAUAUUUGCUGGCGACCGGCGCACGGGUGAGUAACGCGUAUGCAACCUACCUUUUACAAAGGGAUAGCCCAUGGAAACGUGGAUUAAUACCUUAUAAUACUGAUUGAUGGCAUCAUUAAUUAGUUAAAACUUCGUCGGAAUAAGCUGGGCAUGCGUGCCAUUAGCUUGUUGGUAGGGUAACGGCCUACCAAGGCAACGAUGGCUAGGGGUUCUAAAAGGAUGAUCCCCCACACUGGUACUGAGACACGGACCAGACUCCUACGCGAGGCAGCAGUGAGGAAUAUUGGUCAAUGGUCGAGAGACUGAACCAGCCAUGCCGCGUGUAGGAUGACUGCCCUAAGGGUUGUAAACUACUUUUGUAUAGGAAGAAACCCUUCUACGUGUAGAAGGCUGACUGUACUUUACGAAUAAGCACCGGCUAACUCCGUGCCAGCAGCCGCGGUAAUACGGAGGAUGCAGGCGUUAUCCGGAUUUAUUAGGUUUAAAGGGUGCGUAGGCGGGAUUAUAAGUCAGUUGUGAAAUCCUGCAGCUUAACUGUAGAACUGCCAUUGAUACUAAAGGCCUUGAGUAUAGUUGAGGUAGGCGGAAUGUGUAAUGUAGCGGUGAAAUGCUUAGAUAUUACACAGAACACCGAUUGCGUAGGCAGCUUACUAAGCUAUAACUGACGCUGAUGCACGAAAGCGUGGGGAGCGAACAGGAUUAGAUACCCUGGUAGUCCACGCCGUAAACGAUGAUCACUCGUUGUUGGCAAUACACCGUCAGCGACUGAGCGAAAGCAUUAAGUGAUCCACCUGGGGAGUACGGUCGCAAGCUUGAAACCCAAAGGAAUUGACGGGGGCCCGCACAAGCGGAGGAACAUGUGGUUUAAUUCGAUCAUACACGAGGAACCUUACCUGGGCUUAAAUGUAGAGUGCAUAAACGGGAAACUGUUUUUUCCUUCGGGACUCUUUACAAGGUGCUGCAUGGUUGUCGUCAGCUCGUGCCGUGAGGUGUCGGGUUAAGUCCCAUAACGAGCGCAACCCCUAUUCUUAGUUGCCAGCGGGUAAUGCCGGGGACUCUAAGGAGACUGCCAGUGUAAACUGUGAGGAAGGUGGGGAUGACGUCAAAUCAGCACGGCCCUUAUGUCCAGGGCUACACACGUGUUACAAUGGCCGAUACAAAGGGCAGCUACCUGGUGACAGGAUGCUAAUCUCCAAAGUCGGUCUCAGUUCGGAUCGGAGUCUGCAACUCGACUCCGUGAAGUUGGAUUCGCUAGUAAUCGUAUAUCAGCAAUGAUACGGUGAAUACGUUCCCGGGCC